UACAGAGGUCCCAAGCGUUGUUCGGAUUCACUGGGCGUAAAGGGUGCGUAGGUGGCCAGGUAAGUUCGGUGUGAAAGCUCGGAGCUUAACUCCGAAAUGUCAUUGAAUACUAUCUGGCUGGAGGGUCGGAGGGGAGACUGGAAUUCUCGGUGUAGCAGUGAAAUGCGUAGAUAUCGAGAGGAACACCAGUGGCGAAGGCGAGUCUCUGGACGACUCCUGACACUGAGGCACGAAAGCCAGGGGAGCGAACGGG
rnacentral:rRNA from 1 species